CCUUCGAUAGCUCAGUUGGUAGAGCAGAGGACUGUAGAUCCUUAGGUUGCUGGUUCAACUCCGGCUCGAAGGA
rnacentral:tRNA from 1 species